rnacentral:lncRNA from 1 species
GCUCUUUGUGGUGAACUUGGCAACGACCGGUGCCUAUAUAAAUCCACACCCUGCACCUUUCCCGGUCAUCUUAGUAGAUCGAGAGUGGAUGUACUGAUGUACAUACAUAUAUAUGAUACGCAUUGCAGCAAUUCUAUGAGAUAUUGGAGAUAAACUAACCACAACAAUGCCUAUUGAUUGCCCGGUUAUUGGUGGAAAAUAGCAUCCAACCGUUGGCCAGACUUGUCGAGGAAUGAUGCUAUGCGAAUGACAAAACUAUGCGCAAUUUAUGGCUAACGCACUGCAACCAUCCAUUGGACGCGCUUGGCUAGCACUUCCGUCCGGUUCGAUUCGAAUGUCGUGUGCAUAUCGGCUAGAAAACGCCGUGUGCACAACAGAUUCGCUUGUUGAGAGCCUGAUCCCUCCUGUGAAGGCAAACCAUGAAUUGGGUCGUUAACCUGUUGGACGACAUCCACAUUUGUCCUCUCCAAAUAAUAUAAAGUAGGUGUCCUUUGUCGAAAGCCAGCCCUUUGGGCCUAGAGUAGCCACCUCUUGUAUUCUUUCACCAUGUGUAAAUGCUCAACAUCAUUAAUAAAGAGAUCUCAGUUGAUUGCCAAUCCCAAGUUACAAGAUACAACGACAACUACUAACAUGUUAUCAAUAAUAACAAGUAACAAGAUUCUCCCUAUACCGUGGCACGCUUAAUUUCGAAAACUCAAGACACGAGGAGCUUUCAAGCAUGCAUGUCAAAAAGAAACAACAACUGCACUCUUCCAGACAGCUACAAUAGCAGCAACAGAGAGCAGUCAACCUGCGAAAGGAAACAAAGAGACGUUAAAACAAUGUAAAAUAAUACAAUUGUAUGAAUUUGUUGGGGGGCUUCUGAAAUACAUAGUCGACGUGGUAGUCAUCCAGAGGCAGAGGCAGAGGCAGAGGCAGAGGCAGAGCCCUUUGCUUUGCCGCGGAAGGUAGGGCAUGCAGGACUACUGUCUUUUGUUUUGCCUUCUGCUCUACGCUACACCGUCACGUACACGACACAACCACUCAGCCACGUAUUGACUACUGUCCAUGUCCUUGUGAGACGAUAGUGUGCUACCUCACCCAUGCCUUCGGUCCCGCCCCAACUAAAAAUGGCGAGCAACCACAACAACAUGGCAUGGAAGCAGCAUAGCUAUGUAGAGGAAGCUCCGAUAUAGGCCUAUAGGGUAAGAAUUUCGACUGGCGGGAGCAGUUGAAUUUGCUUCACCCAGCAUCACUGAUACAGCCGUCGGUGGGCAAAACUACAAAUGUUGGGGAUUUUACAUUGCCUAUGACGUCAAGGUUGAUUAUGGAGUAUCUCUAUUUGGUUGAAACAUGUUUUCACUUUGGGACCAAUAUAAAAUAAGAACGGAAUGCUACGAACCUCAUGCCAAGAUUGUGUGCAAACAACAAAAUGAAAGAGUGNNNNNNNNNNNNNNNNNNNNNNNNNAAAGAGUGUGUGUGCUUCAGAUGCAUGAAGAAGGUAAAAGUUGAACAGAAAAGAACCUUGCUGCAUGUUCGGUCAUGCACCAACCAUGCAUGUAACUCAUCUGCUUGGCAUGCUUGCCAAAACACAAAAUGACUGAGAGCACUUUGACGUACGUAAACUUGACGAGGACCGAUGCCCAUAUAAAUCCAUGCCCUCGGCCUUUCUCAACCCUACACUCGGUAGAGGUCUAAAGUAGAUAUAUUUGUCAGGUAUAUCACACGUCACAACAAUUAUAUGAGAUAUUGGAGACAAACUAACCACAACAACGCCGAUGAAUCUCUCGGCUGCGUGCUGUUGGGUUGGAAAGGAGGGUGUAGCCUGACCGGUGGUGUGAAGUCCGGCCAAUCAAGUGAAUCCAUUGUCUGUUGCCAGGAUCCAUAUUUGUCUGGAGUGUUAGAAAAUAGUUUCUUUUGCCAAAAUGAUCUCUUCGGGCUGAGAGUAGUCAUCUUUUGUAUUUCUUUCACAAUGUGUAAAUACUCAGAAUCAGCCCCUUUCCUGGUAUUCUUUCAACUUGCUUCUCUCUUUUCCUUCCAUUGUGCUUGUAGUUAUCGGAGUCUUGUAGUACCCGGCAAUGGUUGUUUCCAUUGAGCAAUUAAUAGAAGGGGUUGCUCAGUUUUUUUUUUAUUGAUUGCUAAUCUCUAAUUAAAACUAUAUAUUUAUAAUCAACACGUAUAUGUUAUCAUAACACUCUAACAAAGAGCAAAAAGUCCAUCACAUAUAUAGCAACUCUAACAGGAGUGGGGCGUU